UACGUAGGGGGCUAGCGUUGUCCGGAAUCAUUGGGCGUAAAGCGCGUGUAGGCGGUUCGGUAAGUCCGCUGUGAAAGUCGGGGGCUCAACCCUCGAAUGCCGGUGGAUACUGUCGGACUAGAGUACGGAAGAGGCGAGUGGAAUUCCUGGUGUAGCGGUGAAAUGCGCAGAUAUCAGGAGGAACACCAAUGGCGAAGGCAGCUCGCUGGGACGUUACUGACGCUGAGACGCGAAAGCGUGGGGAGCAAACAGG
rnacentral:rRNA from 1 species